ensembl:lncRNA
UUUUUUUUUUUUUUCACAGCUUUUGUUUUGGCAUAAUGGCAGCAUGGAGAGAAGGUAACAUUUACAUGGCGGACUUCAUCAAAACCUCAGAAGGUUUUUAUUUUAAAAUUUUAAACGUAAAGAAUGACUCUUAAAAAUAAGAAAUAACAGUCCAUAAAGUGGACAUGUCCAAAGCCAAAGUUUUUCAUCUCUUCUUUAACAGUUAAAAUACAAGUUAGAAAGUUUGCUGGCAGUUUAUUUCACAGGAAUAUAUCAGAUGAACGUCAUCUCUGAAUGCACUCCUAACUCACAGCGAUGAAGGGAACAGGCAUACAGAAAAUACAAUGGACAGGGAAUCCACCAGACAGGACCCAAACUUCGGGGGUCAAAAGCGCCGUUAAGAGAUGCUGGUUUGUUAUUGGAUGAAGGCCCAGAUGACAGAGUUACUGCUUCAUCACACUGACUCACAUUUCGGUUUGCAAUCCACUUUCCUCUCUCCUCAUUUCCACAUGGAGGAAAAAAAGUGAUUUUCCUUUCCUACUCCCAGUAUCAUUUCUGACUGAAGUGUUGGUCUAAGACUGUGAACAAUCCUGUCCAACAGGGGUGUUGCUGGGUGUCACCUACUAGGACCGGCCUACAGAGAGCCCAGAACCACCUGAUGCGGGGGUGCUGCUGCUGACAGAGAAUAUGCAAUUCUCCUCACCACUGGUACUAACACUAAAGGCUCUGCUAAAAUGGACUAAAUUAUGUGAGUCAACAUCAUGUUUUCUGUUUUUGGCAUUUCAACCCAUGGAGAAUUUCUAUCUGAAACAAGCUGCUCUGAGGCUUGAAGAUACCCCACUCCCCCCAGUAUCUUCAAAAGCUGUUCUGCAGAAUCAGGAGUAAUAUUUAAUACCGCUGUCAUCUAUAGAAUUCUUUGUUUCUACAUGAUUUGUCGCUGCCGAUACUAUAUCCUCUAAAAUCAAUAGUAUGCCAAAAGGCACUAAUCUUUCACACUUUAAAAAAAAAAAAAAAAAAAAAGGUUUUGUGGUCCCUGUGUUUCCUUACAUUAUCAAAAAUACUAUUUGGCAAAAGCAGUACUUAGUUUUCCCCUCCCCAAAGCCAACCCUAGUGACGGCCCUCACUUUCUUGCUUGUUUCUUUAGGGGGCCUGAGGACUGACUAUGUUAGAUCUCUGUAUUAUUGAAGCUGAACAACUGAUGACAUUUCUAAAACUCUUUCUACCUAGGACUUUUAAAACACUAGUUGAAGAAGAAUAAGGCAUAUUAGUAGGUAAGGACAAAUUCUCAAAAAAGUAGAGUUGGGCUUUUAACAGUCUGUGGCAUUUUUUUAAAUUCUGGAUUUGUUGGUUUUCAAGUGCUAAAUACACAGAAUAUUUAUAUAGGAGACAAAUAUCUUAUUGGUUUGUUAUUUUCUUCAAAGCACUUAUUUACAGACUAUCUAUAGUAGUCAAAACUACCUGGAAAACAUAUUUUUCUGCCACAUAGAAAGGGUUAGACAGUCAUACUUGGGAUGCAUCUCAAAUUUAUGAUGAAGAAAGAACAGACUAACCCCCUGCAACAGAGCCCCCACCCCAACCUUGCCCACACAGACAACUUACACACACUCUGAUACGUGUAACUGUGAGGAGACCAGGCAUCCCUCAAACAAAAAGCUGACAGUCUACAGGGUGGGUUGGUGAAAAAUUGGAUUCCUGGUUUAUUCACUGAGUUGAAAAAAUCACAAGGCAGAAGAGAACAAUUCCAACACACCCAAUGCAAGCUGUGAGGCUGGCCCAGGAGAGAACAUUCUCCUCAAAUUUACUGAUCAAUGCCUCCUGCCAUCUGACAGAGAAGACAUAAGAAAUGAGAGGGUUUGUCCAUCUGCUGCCAUCUUGAAGGCUUUUGGAAGUGAGACAGGAAAUCCAAACUCCCAACCUAAGUUUGUAAAUGAAGGUGGCCAAAGCAGGGUUGCCCCAGCCCUAUAAUUGGAUCACCCAGUUUCCACAGGUCCUUAAAGUAGGCGUCUGGGAAGGUGGAGUCCAGAUUGGUGUGUCCUGUCCUGACCACAGGCAGCCCAUCUUCUGAGAGGAAUCACCCCUCAGUGCAACCAGCAACCCAUCUGGCCAGACUGGAACCCAGUUCUAACCCACCCCAAGACCCAAGCAGAAGAGGCCAACACAGGCCUUGGAGGUUGCUCUUGACUUCCCUCUUCUUCCUCUCUCACCAGCUCAAGAUAGACUGUAAAGAAUAACUGUCCCACAGUCCAACAAAUGGUGUCAAAACAGAGCCCGAUGCCUGUGAUUUCAAAGCUAACAAUGGCAGGACCAAGUCACACAAACUCUGGAUGUUCCUUGGGCUGCCAUCCCAAGAGAGAAAUUCCACUUGCAGACUGCCACAUGGUCAUCGUGCCCUCCUUUAAAGCAGAACUUCCUGUCAUUUGAUCACAAAAGGCAGCCUCACACGAAGUGAGCAGCCGGUGUGCCUUCAUUCAACUUCCCCAUGUGGAGUGGUAACUGAGAAAACCAUUCAAAUCAACAACGUCUAGAACACACUCUGGGUGGGGCUGAAAUCUGGCAUGAAAACAGACUCAGCUUACAGUCACCAUGAUCUCCAGGUCAUGCCGUUUUAUUUCAGCUAACGAAAGGUGUCUGGCGAGUUGAAGGAAUGACAUGGUGAAAUAUGGAGCCAGUCAUCUCCAUAAUCACACUUAAAGUUGAACAGGAAUCAUUAUAAAACUUCUAUUCAAGGAUAAAACCCAACUCUAAGCCUGGUUGGGUGGUAUGUUCCCUCCCCAUUGAGGAGUAGUGGUUCCUUGCUCUGAGCAGAACAGCCUAGAAUGUCCGUGUAGAUCUACCACAUUAGUAAGAAAAAGCAGUGCCCAUGCUUGCUACAAAUCACAAGGCUCUCUUAAAUAUCACUUGCAUCUCUAAAAUCUAACCAGUUCCUAGGACUCCUCUCUUCUGUCUUCCUCUGGAUUUUUAACCCAGGCGAAUGAAAUCUAUCACUUCCCAGGCCUGGGGCAGCUGCUAGAGAGGGCCUUGCAUUCCACUGCCAUGUAUUCAAACCUCAAAACCUAUGUCUGUCUGCUUGAGGUAAAGUAAAAAAUACUAAUAAUAAAUAUUUAAGAGAGGAGUAGUGAUCUCAGGACCACAAUUUUGUGGAGCCAAGAAGGGUGGGGUGAUGAAACCUCUACAAGGCAGUCUUUGGCAGAGAAGCCUCCGUGUGACACUUCUAGGGAAUAUCUCCUGUGUGCUUGAUCAAAACGAAGAGGCAAAUGGUUGGGGCUGCUGGCCCUCAGAGGCCUGGGGGAGCCU